GACGAACGCUGGCGGCGUGCUUAACACAUGCAAGUCGAACGGAAAGGCCCUGCUUUUGUGGGGUGCUCGAGUGGCGAACGGGUGAGUAACACGUGAGUAACCUGCCCUUGACUUUGGGAUAACUUCAGGAAACUGGGGCUAAUACCGGAUAGGAGCUCCUGCUGCAUGGUGGGGGUUGGAAAGUUUCGGCGGUUGGGGAUGGACUCGCGGCUUAUCAGCUUGUUGGUGGGGUAGUGGCUUACCAAGGCUUUGACGGGUAGCCGGCCUGAGAGGGUGACCGGCCACAUUGGGACUGAGAUACGGCCCAGACUCCUACGGGAGACAGAAGUGGGGAAUAUUGCACAAUGGGCGGAAGCCUGAUGCAGCAACGCCGCGUGCGGGAUGACGGCCUUCGGGUUGUAAACCGCUUUCGCCUGUGACGAAGCGUGAGUGACGGUAAUGGGUAAAGAAGCACCGACUAACUACGUG
rnacentral:rRNA from 1 species